UACAGAGGUCCCGAGCGUUGUUCGGAUUCACUGGGCGUAAAGGGUGCGUAGGUGGCUUGGAAAGUUUGAUGUGAAAGCUCAGGGCUUAACCCUGAAAUGGCAUUGAAUACUGCCGGGCUGGAGGUUUGGAGGGGGACUGGAAUUCUUGGUGUAGCAGUGAAAUGCGUAGAUAUCAAGAGGAACACCAGUGGCGAAGGCGAGUCCCUGGACAACACCUGACACUGAGGCACGAAAGCUAGGGGAGCAAACAGG
rnacentral:rRNA from 1 species